rnacentral:tRNA from 1 species
AGGGUUGUAGCUCAGUGGUAGAGGCCUUGCUUAGCAUGCAUGAGGUCUUGGGUUCAAUCCCCAGCACCACAA